AUGGACCAGCCCAUCAUAGAUUGUCCUGCCCAUGUACCCGGCCCCGCCCGGGAGCACCUGAGUGGCCCACCAUCGCCUAACCGUUUCCUUCCUCCUCUGCUCUCUCUUCUCUGCUCUGCUCCGCUCCCGACGACGGCGGCGACGGCGCGGAGACACCGGAUGGCGGGCAAGGGCGAAGGCGCGUCGUCUUCGGGCUGCUGUGCCUGUGCUCCACGUCCGGCAUGGUCUCCCGGCCUCUCCUCCGUCGCUGGAACUGGAAGCAAGCGCCAUCGGGUCAGGUCGAGAGAGCUCAUGUGCUAUGCCGGCACCUCUACCUUUGCUCUCGGCCCAGCACAAGAAAAGGUCUGGGCCAGACUGCCCAUUCCAUGCCAUUGUACCGACACGCCACCAUCACAAUCACCAAUGCUUCUCUCCCUGUACGUCAGCUUGCUUGCGCCCGAACUGCGUAUGCUCUGGCUGCAUCAUCAGGAUCAGGCAGGCGGCAGCGGCAUCCAUCACCGGCGGACCAUCAAGGCGCCGUUGUCCAUCCCUGCAUCCACCGGCCAGGGGAUGGCCGAGACCGCCCUCGGCGCCGCACAAUGGGUGGUGCGCAAGGCGCUGGCCCCCGUUGCGGAUGGCGUGCUGGAGGCUUGGGCGGCCAGCAGGACAUUUGGUCUCAACAUCCAGGCCCUCAGAACGGAACUGGAGAAGGUGCAGGCCACACUCGAAAUAGCUGCCACCAAGGAGCUCCCCGGGCUGGCCACGGAGAAGAUGCUGCAGAAGCUGUGGGACUCGGCGCACAAUGCCGAGGACUUGCUGGACGAGCUGGACUACUUCCGCAUCCACGACGAGCUUCAUGGCACGUACGAUGCUGCCGACCAGCACGGCGACGAUGUCCUCCGUGACCUCGCCUGUGAUGCUCGCCACACCAUCAAAGAUCUUGGCAAACUGAUCAACUGUUUCCCAUGGCAGCAUGCCGAGCUCCAGCAGAGGUCACGUGGCAAUUCGUUCUCAGCAUCAGACGCCAACCAGGAGGUCAGCGGAUGCAUGCCCAGCCUCGGUAAACUGCUCCUUUCCUCAUGUUCCCCACAUCCACAUGUUCAUGGUGAUGGAGAUCGUGGCAAUGCGCAAGAAGCACCGAUGCCUGAGUUUAAUAGGGCUGAUUUCUCCCAAAGGAUGAAGGACACUAUAGAGCAACUAAAGCUUAUGCGUAAUGAUGUUAAGGAUAUUCUGCAGACUUGUGGCCCUAGAACUGUCCUAGACAUUGCUCAGCGUCGUGCCGCCACCACACCUCAGAGUGCAGAGCUAAAACUGUAUGGGAGGGACCAUGUCAUGAAUAAUAUGAUACAUGAUAUCACCGAGGGUCAAUACUGUGACAAGGGUCUAACUGUGCUUCCAGUUAUUGGUCCGGGGGGAAUGGGGAAGACAACUAUGAUACAACACAUAUAUAACAACCAACAAGUGCAGAAUCAUUUUCCAGUCAGGAUUUGGAUAUGUGUGUCGUUCAAUUUCAACCUGGGUAAGGUGCUAGAACAGAUUAAAGAAGGUACUCUUAGGGUUGAAGGUGAAAAUGGGUGUAGUACAACACAAGAGCUGAUUGAACACAGAUUGAAACACAAAAGGUUCUUACUUGUAUUGGAUGAUAUAUGGCAGUUUAAUGAUGUGGAUGACUGGAAAAAACUAUUAUUGAUACUCGGCAAGUCACAAGAAAAGGGUUCCAUUAUUCUAGUCACAACUCGGCAAAAAGAAAUAGCAGACCAGGUUAAGAAAAGUGCAGAGCCAAAAGAACUGAACGGUUUAGAACCUGGAGAGUUUAAGAAGUUAUUCCUUGUAUAUGUCUUUGAUGUUGAGCAUUGUCCAGGGGAUAAACGUUUUUUGCUUGACACUGGAGAUAAGAUAAUGGGAAAACUAAAGGGCUCCCCUCUUGCAGCAAAGACUGUUGGUAGAUUACUGAGGACAGACCCUAGUUUGGCUCAUUGGAGAAGGGUCCUAAACAGUAAACAAUGGGCGAAACAGACCAAUGGAAUUAUGCUUGCCUUGGAGCUUAGCUAUGGCUUUCUCCCUUUCCAUUUGCAACGGUGUUUUUCCUAUUCUGCAUUAUUUCCUGAAGAUUACCAUUUCAGAAGCCAUGAGCUCAUCAGCCUAUGGAUCGGACUAGAUAUUUUGACACCUUCCGAUCAAAACCCAACCUUUGAAGGCAUAGGUCUGAGCAUAUUGAAUGAUCUAGUCAUCCAUGGAUUUUUCAAAGAAUAUAAAACUGAUGGUGGUCUCCGGUAUGUUAUGCAUGACCUACUGCAUGAGUUGGCAUUGAAGGUUGCAUCACAUGAUUGUCUUCGUUUUCGUCUCCCUGAUGUUGGAUCGGUAGAAAUUAAGCCAUCCACCCGACACUUGUCUAUAAGCAUAGAAAACUUGGGUGAAUAUCAUGGUCAAAAAUUAAAGAGGGAAUUGGAAAAAUUGAAGACAAGAUUGAAGGUUGAACAUUUGCAAACACUGAUGUUAUUUGGAGCAAUGGAUGAAGGUUUUGCUAAGAUAUUUGGUGAUUUUCUCAGGGAAGCAAAUGCUCUUCGUGUUCUUUAUUUGCCCCUCCUGAAGUAUCCUGUGGAGUCCAUGGUACAUAAUUUUUCAGGACUUGUCCACCUACGAUUCCUAUGUCUAGGGUGUUUACCAAUUAACAUCUCUAAAUUUUAUCAUCUAAGGGUUCUAGAUCUUAAGUCAUGGUCUGGCAGUGCUCUUGGAAAAGUUGAAGGUAUUUCGGGUCAAUAA
rnacentral:rRNA from 1 species